AUGAGCUUUUUGAGGAAUUUAUUUCUGCUUGGACUCUUCAGUCUUGAGUGCAGAUCAGAAGAGAAAGUUGAGCAGCCAGACAAACACAUGACUGAAGUUGAAGGAAAAUCAGUGACCUUAAGAUGUACAUUUACAACAACUUCCAACCAGCCGUACCUCUUCUGGUACAUCCAGAGAGCAAGUGAUCAUCCCAAAUACAUCCUGAGGAGGGACAAGUAUGGAGCUGGAGAAAAUGGCACAGAGUUUCAGGAGAGAUUUCACUCUGAACUUUCAUCAGAUUCAGUUCCUCUGACGAUCAGAGAUCUGCGUGUGUCUGAUUCUGCUGUGUAUUACUGUGCUCUGAGGCCCACAGUGACUAAACUCAAAGCCACAUUCAGGUAUAAUGUGUGUGAGGGAGGAGGAACUCAGCGCUGA